GCCAGCCGAGCCCCCCACCCGAUGCUGGUGCCCUCCAGGAGGGGGGUUGAGGGGCAUCAGGGGCGGGCUGGGUGCUCUGUGCUUUCCCAGGGGUUCCGUAACCCAAUUGCACCCACCCUCUGGGUGCCCCCAGCGCCUUCUGGGCUGUGGGAAUUUGCCCCAGGUGUUGCCCCACCAAGCAUCAAACUGGGGACCCCAUUGGCCCCGAUGUCUGGGGGGUGGCUGGACCCUGGGUGUGCCAGAGUUAGGGGGCUGUGGGAUGGCCCAGAGUCCUGGGUGUGUGGGUGCCAGAUGGGGGUGAGCAGGGCCCCAAACCCCUGGGUAUAUGAUGCAGGAUAAGGAGUGGCCAGACCCCCAAAGCCCUGAGUACGUAGGUGGCCAGAUUUGGGGUCAUCAGAGCAUCAAACCCCUGGAACAUGGGUGUCGGAUCGAGGGUGGGCAGGAGCCAGGACCCCCAAGUAUGUGGUUUUUGCAUGAGGGUGGACAGGACCCCAAACCCCUGGGUUUGUGGGUGCCAUGUGGGAGGUCAGCAAGACCCGAAACCCCUGGGUAUGUGGGUGUCAGAUGAGGAUGAACAGGAUCCCAAAUCCCUGGAUAGGUGGGUUCUGGAUGGAGGGUGGGCAGGGCCCCAAAUUCCUGGGUACUUGGGUGCCAGAUGGCGAGUAGACAGGACCCCAGACCCCUGGUUAUGUGAGUUCUGGGUAGGGGGUGGAGAGGACCCCAGACCCCUGGACAUCUGGGUGCCAAACCCCUGGGUCUGUGGGUGCUGGAUGGGGGUGAGGAGGACCCCAGACCCCUGGAUGCCAGACCCCUUGGCCCGUGGGUGCUGGAUGAGGGAUGGGCAGGACCCCAAAUCCCAGAGUCUGUGAGUGCUGGAUGAGGGUGGGCAAGACCCCAAACCCCUGACGAUCUGGAUGCCAGACCCCUGGGCCCAUGGGUGCUGGAUGCGGAUGGGCAGGACCCCAAGUCCCAGGGUCUGUGGUGCUGGAUAAGGGUGAGCAGGACCCCAAAUCCCAGAGUCUAUGGGUGCUGGAUGAGGGAUGGGCAGGACCCCAGAUCCCAGAGUCUGUGGGUGCUGGAUGGGGGUGGGCAGGACCCCAAAUCCCAGGGUCUGUG